AACGAACGCUGGCGGCAGGCCUUAUACAUGCAAGUCGAGCGCAUCCUUCGGGAUGAGCGGCGGACGGGUGAGUAACGCGUGGGAAUGUGCCCUUCUCUACGGAAUAGCCACUGGAAACGGUGAGUAAUACCGUAUACGCCCUCAGGGGGAAAGAUUUAUCGGAGAAGGAUCAGCCCGCGUUAGAUUAGGUAGUUGGUGGGGUAACGGCCUACCAAGCCUACGAUCUAUAGCUGGUUUUAGAGGAUGAUCAGCCACACUGGGACUGAGACACGGCCCAGACUCCUACGGGAGGCAGCAGUAGGGAAUCUUGGACAAUGGGGGCAACCCUGAUCCAGCCAUGCCGCGUGAGUGAAGAAGGCCCUAGGGUCGUAAAGCUCUUUCGCCUGUGAUGAUAAUGACAGUAGCAGGUAAAGAAACCCCGGCUAACUCCGUG
rnacentral:rRNA from 1 species